UGGGGACUAUUGCACAAUGGGCGCAAGCCUGAUGCAGCCAUGCCGCGUGUGUGAAGAAGGCCUUCGGGUUGUAAAGCACUUUCAGCGGGGAGGAAGGCGUUAAGGUUAAUAACCUUGGCGAUUGACGUUACCCGCAGAAGAAGCACCGGCUAACUCCGUGCCAGCAGCCGCGGUAAUACGGAGGGUGCAAGCGUUAAUCGGAAUUACUGGGCGUAAAGCGCACGCAGGCGGUCUGUCAAGUCGGAUGUGAAAUCCCCGGGCUCAACCUGGGAACUGCAUUCGAAACUGGCAGGCUAGAGUCUUGUAGAGGGGGGUAGAAUUCCAGGUGUAGCGGUGAAAGGCGUAGAGAUCUGGAGGAAUACCGGUGGCGAAGGCGGCCCCCUGGACAAAGACUGACGCUCAGGUGCGAAAGCGUGGGGAGCAAACAGG
rnacentral:rRNA from 1 species